GUCUAUGGCCAUGCCACCCUGAACAAGCCCGAUGUCUGAUCUCGGAAGCUAAGCAAGGUCGGGCCUGGUUAGUACUUGGAUGGGAGACCACCUAGGAAGACCAGGUGGUGUAGGCA
rnacentral:rRNA from 1 species